AAUGACAAAUGAAUGUACUGAUUAGUAUACUAAUUAUACAAUUUGGAUUUUUUAAUAAAGUAUAAACAUGAUAUAAUACAUCGACAAAGUGAAAGACAGACAAAGUGAAAUAGGGGUAAUAUUCGUUUAAAAUUUUUAUAAACGCCAGUCUAGUCACACACGUGAACACCGAUGUAAACACCGAUUGACAUAAUCGCCAGUGCCCGUAAGAUUAUCAUUGUGUACAGUUCGGUCCAGUAAUAAUAGUAAAGAUGAAUAGCAGAAGUAAAAAAAUAAUGGCCUUAAUAAAUGACAAUAAAACAUAUACCGAAGCAGUAAAAAUGAUAUACAGACUGACAAUAAUUCCCCUAUAUUCCUCUUAGAGGUUUAUGAUAUUUAUAAUGCCAACAUUGCAGAAGAUUUUAGCAAUGACAUUAUCAUCUUUGAGGAACCACCAGACGUUGCAGUAGAAGAAGAAAUAUUUAGUCACGAUCUCACAUCAUGUUUCAACUUAGCAGCAGAUAAUGGUUUGGGUGCCGGUAUAAGUAGUGAUCAAAAUAAGGAAAAUACAAGCAAUCAAAUCAAUAAUGAUGUUGAACCAAAUAUUGACUGUGAUUAUGAAUUAGAAUCCGCUAUUAUUAGAUAUCCGCUCCUAUUUGCGAAUUAUUUACUUUUAAGUAUUUCAUCCUAGCAUCAAAAACAUGUUUAAAGAAUUUAGGGUAUUGUUUUUAACUUAGAAUGUAUUUUUGGUUUAAAAAAAUAAAGCCUAUCAAAAAUC
rnacentral:lncRNA from 1 species